AUGGCUGAGCAGGCAAGAGCAGAUUUUGCAACAAAGCUCUCACUACGGAAAUUCAUGGCGACGGCGCAGCGUGUAACUCUAGAUCAAAGGCAGCUUGCACGUAGCAUGGGCCUGGAUCAUCUGCUUGACCUAAAAUGUGAUACUCUGCCACGCGGUGUCGUUCAUUAUCUGGCAUCAAACUUUGAUGUACCCUCAAGGGCUAUUGAACUCCCCAAUGGGUUCAAGUUCACAAUCACACCCUACUGCAUACACCAGGUCCUGGGGAUACCACUUGGCGGCAGAACCAUAGAGAAGAAGCAAAACCCAGCACUUAGAUCACUGAUUGCUCAACAGACAAAAUGCAAAGGAAACUACCCAACCAUAAACGAGCUGGAUAACUUGAUACAACCUAGGCUAGAUGGAGAUUCAUUCAAAAGGAUUUUCACAAUGUAUGCGCUCACCGUGCUCCUCUGCCCUUCAAGCCAUGGGGCUGCUAGUCCAGAUUACUACCACAUUCUGGAAGACCCUGAACAGAUUGGCUCAUUCGACUUCUGCACGGCUGUCCUUGACAAGCUUGUGGCGUCAAUUGAUAGCUACAAGGCUGGAGCCACAACGGUGCUCGCCGGGGAUCUCUUAACACUCACGAUCAUAUACUUUGAAUUUCUUGACACCGACAUCAUGCCGGUCACAAGCAAGCGGCCACGGAUUUCACUUUGGACGUCUGAAAUUGUAGCAGAAUAUGAAAGGCGGGACUGCACAAGCAGCGAUAAAUUGCUU
rnacentral:rRNA from 1 species